ACUGAGAAGAAACAUCUGAAAGAUGAAAAACACAAAGGAGCUCCACCAGCAAAAGAAGCUCCAAAACACCACAACCUGACAUCAGCUCCUGUCCGCUACUUUCAAUGUGUUUUCAUAAACGGACCUAACGGAUUUGGACUGCAGUUUCCUACCAACCCCUCUUCAAACAAGGAAGAAAAGAAUCACUCAAAGACUUCCAAGAGAAAGACAAGGAAGCCAGGGCAGUAGAGAGACUGAGUUCUGUGAUUGUUCGCAUUUUGCACAUUAUCUUUUCUGCUGAGGUCCACAGUAGUCACAGUGGUACUUGUCAUUGCCAGAAUGUGAUCCAUUUGGCACAUGUACCUGGAAAAGUUUCCGUGAGACACGGGCAAAACAAGCUGUGUUUGACAAAGGCAGAGAAGUAAAAGCACCCUAUUUCUCGUGGAAAGGCUGCUAAGAAAGCAUUGGCCUGAUUGUGUGUGUGAGCGUGUGUGUGAUUUCCUGCCUCUUUAGCUCCGUUUUUCUUAACCUGCUCAGCAUUAAAGUCAGUCUGUUUUCCAUUUAUUCUUAACUAGGGAGUGAGAGGCUGAAUGUAGCUUUUAUAUCAGCAAGAUUGCAAGACUGCCAGCAAUCCUAAAUCACUUCUUCUUAAAGUUCAAUCAAAUUGCUGACAGGAGAAAGCCUCAAUAAAUCAUGAAAAUGUGCCCUGCAACUGGUGCUAUUUUUAUUUCUCAUUGACCAGUGUGGCUUGAAGUUCACAAUUGCUAUCAGCAGCUCAGCAUACUACCAAUAAGUUGAUUCUUCAAGUCAUGCUAAUGAUGGAUAUUUCUAUUUAACUUGAAACAGUUAAAGACACUGUGUUUGCCCUGCCUGCUGGCAAAAUACAAAUAGUUCAUGUUAUAAAAGCCCAAAGUGAGAAGAGAAACUAAAACAACAUGGCAAAGGUGAGAAAAAUCAAUGUUUUAUCAACAUGAAGAUCCCAAGAAACAAGCAAAACAAAACAAAUUUUUUUCCUGUGGGUAAAUCAGAUCAAUUUGCAGCAAAAACCAUGAAAAUUGAGAAUACACCAGCCAACCAACCAUUUUCUGUUAGCAUAAUAUGAAAAGCUGUGAUGUAUGAUGCUGGUCACAUGAAACCAAUCCAAAUACCCAGUGGGUAUACAUGCCAAUUUGUAACAAUCUCAGAUCAGUGAUAGAAAAAAAAAAAA